ACGAAGGGGGCUAGCGUUGCUCGGAAUCACUGGGCGUAAAGGGUGCGUAGGCGGGUCUUUAAGUCAGGGGUGAAAUCCUGGAGCUCAACUCCAGAACUGCCUUUGAUACUGAAGAUCUUGAGUUCGGGAGAGGUGAGUGGAACUGCGAGUGUAGAGGUGAAAUUCGUAGAUAUUCGGAAGAACACCAGUGGCGAAGGCGACUUACUGGACGAUUGUUGACGCUGAGGUGCGAAAGCGUGGGGAGCAAACAGGA
rnacentral:rRNA from 1 species